AUGUAUCCAAUUUGCAUCUCACACAUUUCAGUCAGGCAUCAUUCUAGUGUGGACAUAGGUUCUCCUAUCUUCACCCAAGGGGAGGCUGGCACCGCAACUGUGGCAGGAAGAAAACCUGAAAAAUCCCAUUGUGACAUCAGAACUUCAUCUUGUGCUUUGCUCACAGCAAACUUUACUCCUGUAUGUUUUGAUGGCAAUAGUGGUUCAUGGUUCAGCCUCUCAAUUCAAGCUAUAAUAAUCUUCUGGAAAAAGAAGUUUAAUAUUGCUCUUGCCAAAAAUUUAAUUGCAUCCAUUGAUGCAUCUGAAACAAAAUUGUUACCUAAUGAAUUUUUUCCUUAACAGUUGCUUUAUCUUUCCUUCUUCACUAAUUUCUCAAGGUUAUAGGAGUACAGAUCUUAUUGCCUUCUAUAACAGCAUUUGGCUUUCAAAUCACCAAUUCUGUGGCUCUUCUUUUUGAGCAUUGGAGCUCUUGAUCUAGGAAGCGAUGACACUCUUCUGGUUGGUUCCUCAUUUUUUGGUUGAAUACUAAAUGUUUGAAAUGGUUCACACAAACAAAGAGUGAUACCCAUACCCAAGAUUCAAUUUGACUGAAGAAAAGGUGACAGCCUACAGCUUCAUAGCAGAGAGAUCUGUAGGAAGAUAGGUAUGUUCUUUCUUGGGAAAUUAAAACCAAGGAAGUGCAGUAGCCCCGAUGGCAGCCGAGGACUGAUAAGCAAAGCAUUUGGGCAUCUCCCAGAUAUAACAGUCAGCUUGCCUAAAGAUAAAACUGCACUUGUUAAAUCACAUCUUUCUUUCUUAACAAAUUGAGUACUGCUGCACAGUGUUGGUCUGCAUGCUCUUGUGAAUGUGUCUCUAAAAUGCUGGUUGUAGCAAAUAUAUUCUCCUUGGUACUAUUACACUAUAUGUUCAGGUUUGACAGUAUAAUCUGAUGUUCAACUUUUUGCAAGCUUAGCGGCCUGGUUUUCAAGAAAGCUUCCUCUUUUUGCCAUUACUGAUGAAGAUAAGAAAACCAAUGAAUGUACAAAACUGAGAUUUCUAAGGAAUACAGAUGGGUUCAUAAUGAAGUGAACGGUUAGCAGAUGAUGUACUUCAUCAUGAAGGCUUUGAAACCACUGUUACUUGUAUAUGGAUGUUUGAAUCAUGUUGAGCAUUCGAGCAGUGAGACUUACUUCAAUCUUGCACUUUGUGAGGUCAUACAAGAAAUAGCUGAGAACCCGACCUUCCGUGAACCAGUGAACACUAAAGACACUGGUAUGACAUUUAAGUAGAUGAAAUAUGUCUCUGCUGUAAGCAAGAAUUUUCCAUUUAUCCAGCAUAUGCUGUCAUAAUUCUGAAGUGU
rnacentral:lncRNA from 1 species